CUGCCUCGAUCUGCAUGCAGUGUGGAUCCCGCGAGAUUUCAUUCAGCAAUUCCCAUCCCCCAUGCAGCACGCGCUGCAUCGCGCCGACGCCAUUACUACUCUCUGACUGCUUUGCUGUAAUUUUCGAGAGAAGACGUUUGCCGUCAGUGUAACCAAGGUAAGAAUGACAAUUUUAAAACUGAAAAUGUAGAGCAUGUAAUUACAUUGUUUUCAAACCAUGAUGUUAACCGAAACAUAGCUUGGUUUUUGUCACGUUACAAUUUAGACUUCAUACUCAGAUCGCGCCAUAUUUUUCCUCUUAUUUCUGGCGCCAAUGUCUAACCUUAAACGAUAAUGCUGUAUUGAUGUUCCCUACGCCCUCUAAAACAAACAAACAAACAAAAAACACUAAAAAAGCUCAAACUGCAGAGUUUGGCAGCGGGCUGUGUGCUCACGAUACGGGAAGAUUACGACGACGAUGUGAAAUGGCUUAUAGCAGAGAAGCUAAGGUUAGUGUAAAUAAGGUACGUUAGCCUGGGACAGAUCUCCAUUUGAACAGUAAACAAGGCUGUUGUACUUUAAACAAUACAUAAAAUACAAUAAUAGUACAACAAUAUUUAAUAUUUAUCAUGCAAACAGGAGUUUCUGCCUUAUAUAAAUCUGCAACAGUUUGCAUUCGGGUGUUAUUACAAAUCAUACAAAUUGUUAUGACUAUACAAAUGUUUUUGCCUAAAUUAGAAUUUUAAUUUUUUUAAAGUAAUAAGCAUUUUUCUUACAGAAAGGAAUCGGAAGGUCUUGGAUGUUGAUGCAGUGGAACAGAAAUUGGCAGACCCCACCUUCCAGAAACAAGUGGUUGCUGUGGUGGCAGUACUGUGGAUGAAGCCAGGAGAAGAAUGAGGGCCUUCCUUUUGGACCACCCCGCAUCAAGAGAGUUCAAUUUUGUUAGCCGGCAUGGAAAGUGAGAGUUUCAGGGGCUCAGACUGCUUGAGGUUGUAUAAGGAAGCUUGAAAAAAAUUCUCUUAACCAAAUUACCAGAAAAGAGGCAGAAAAGUCAGCGUCAAAGUGGCUAAUCGGUGACGGGAGGAAACCGUUCUGCGAAGUCACGUAGUAGAGAGUAAGAUAGGGCCGUUGGGAGAGCGAGGACAGAGGUGUGAGGGGCUGCACGGUUGGUUUGUUUGUGAAAUGUAUUUUAGAGUUUUCAGAUGUGUAUACAAACGAUUCAAGUUAUUCCAAAUAAUGUUUGGCAGGAGCUUCACUUUAACUUUUUUUAAGAUGCUUAUGUUUUAUAAAGUUGUAAAUACACAAGUUAUAAUGGUCAUGUUCAAAUUAUUCCAACGAAACCUUGUUUAAAGCAUGCAGAAUACAAGUUAUGAAGAUUUUUAUUUUUACAAGAAAUAAAGUUUUUCAGGAGCUUAAAAUUAACUUUUUUUUUUAUAUAUAU